rnacentral:lncRNA from 1 species
AGGGAUAGAUAACUGCUGAAAAGGUGGUUCAGCAGGUAGAAUAGAUGAAUAGUCAGAAAAAGUAGUUAUCAUCUAUACUAUAGGAAUUGGUAUCUCGGGGUAGUAUAAGGAGGAUGGGAGAAGGAAAGAAAAUGCCAGACUGCGAUAGUACUAAGCCGGGGAUAAGCUUGAUGCUUUCUCUUCUUCUUAAUUAUCUUGUUUCUUUUGUGUUAGUGUUGAUUCUAAUGAAGAAAAUCGAUUUAAUGAAUCAAUAUUUGAUUUACAAAGUUAUUUAUGGAUCACUGUUUAUCAAUUGUUGUGAAAAAUCGAGGAUGUAUAGAAGUUUCCAGUCACUGUUUAUCGUAAGGUUGUAAGUUCAAUGGUCAGGAAUUGUAAUCGAAGGAAUUGUCUCGAUCAGAUUCUGUGGA